AAAUGAAUUGACGGGGGCCCGCACAAGCGGUGGAGCAUGUGGUUUAAUUCGAUGAUACGCGAGGAACCUUACCAGGGCUUAAAUGCGGUACGACGGGCCUGGAAACAGGCCUUUCCUCGGACGUACCGCAAGGUGCUGCAUGGUUGUCGUCAGCUCGUGCCGUGAGGUGUCAGGUUAAGUCCUAUAACGAGCGCAACCCCUGCCGUUAGUUGCCAGCAUGUAAAGAUGGGGACUCUAACGGGACUGCCGGUGCAAACCGCGAGGAAGGUGGGGACGACGUCAAAUCAUCACGGCCCUUACGCCCUGGGCCACACACGUGCUACAAUGGCCGGUACAGAGGGCUGCCACCCCGCAAGGGGGCGCGAAUCCUCAAAGCCGGUCACAGUUCGGAUCGGGGCCUGCAACUCGGCCCCGUGAAGCUGGAAUCGCUAGUAAUCGGAUAUCAGCCAUGAUCCGGUGAAUACGUUCCCGGGCCUUGUACACACCGCCCGU
rnacentral:rRNA from 1 species